GGGGGUGACUUGCUCUUUAAAGCUAAUUCUGUGGUUGUAACUGGGAGCCAAUGAAGGGAAGCCAAGAGACGAUUUCGUGGCGUGCUGCUUUACCAGGAACUGCCUGAGCACCCUGUGCUUUUCUUCAGCAGGUCCAGAGUCUGCCUCCUCUUGCUCACCGAUGACUUUUGCCCACUUUCCGUCAGCCAAUCAGCCUCCUUUUUGGUUGAAGACCCAAGUUCCUGGGAAAAAAAAAGAAGAAAAGUCACAUUUAGUUUUAAAGGUGCAAAAUGUAAAAAUGAAGUAAGAAUUA